GUGCCACUUGGAGGCACAUCGACUUUCCAAACUUCAAGCUUUGCCACUCAGAGCAUGAGGGAGCCACACCCCAUCUUUAACUGAUCCAGAGUCAACUUUUUACCACAGGAGGAGUUGGGGUGAUGGGAACGUCUGAAGGCUGGGGUCACUUGGUGAAGGACUUUGUUGAUGACCAGGAUCUCAGGUUCCUCGGGAGUGGGCCAGUCUGUCAGGAGCCUAUCCAAGGCCAGCUGCGUCUCCUCCUGAAAAAGGGGAGGAAGAAACUCAUGUGGCUAUGUUGAGUAAGUAGCCAUGACGACCGACUUCUCCAGGGUUCCAAAAGGCCUGGCAGCCUGCACUGCCUAGUCAGCUCGAGGUGGAACACUGUGGGCCUUUACUUUGUGAGGUAAGAGAAGCAGUUAACAUUGCUGGGGAGGCAGACAGGCAGGAGCCAUGGACUCCUGUCAACCCCAGCCAGUGAGCGAUUCGCUACCCUGCUCAACCUUCAACUAGACUUGUUUCUGGUGAGUCAAACUGCACCAGCUGCUUUUCCUCUAGCAGAGAGGGUACGAGGGUGUGCAAAGGAAGGGCUGAGCUUGCAUCUGUCUGGGGAUGAGGCACAGAAGAAUUUAAAAGGGUCACACUAGGGCUGAAUCCUGAGAGAUGUAUAGUAUUUUCCAGGUAAGGAGGUGGUGGGCAAGGAGAAUUGGUCUAUUCUGGAACCUGCUAGUUCUUAGGACAGACACACUGAGGCUUCAGAAAUAGAAGGAGGUCACAUGUUGAAGGGACUUUUAUGGGAUGCUAAAGAGUUUGGGCUUUGAUACAACUACUGAAGGUUUUUUGUCAGGGUAAUAUCCUUGUCAGUUAUGCUCAUAAGAAAGAACCCUCUGGAAUAACUUUUUUGGAAAUGAUGUUCAUCCUUUCUUCCCUACAGCUAAUUUCAGUUGGUACUUUUCUUGCUUUGUCUUUCUGGACAUCUAAUUGGUUACCAGCUCUUCAGUGUCAUAUUUUUCCUUUCCAAACUUAUUACUGAUUCCUGAGUCAAGUUCAAGCACUUUAUUAACAUUUCUUUUUACAGGCUUUAUUGGGCUCUCUUUACGUCCUUGAAACUAUGUUUUAUGCUGACUGCUUGAUCUUUCUGAAGCAGAUCUCCAAAGCCUGCUUUCAUGAAGCCCCUAGUGACUGUUCCCUCCACUGGAUUCCUACAACAGCAAAGAAGCCACCUGUUAGGUUCUUAGCACAAGAAGCUUUAUGCUGUCACUUUUUUUUUUUUUUUUUUUUAACAUGUCUGUAAGCUAUCUGCAAGUAGGGACCAUGCCUUAAGGGAGGAGGAGAAUAACAAAAAACAGCAUUAGGACAGGGCAAACCCUGAGGACUAGUCCCAACUCGGAGACUCUACGGCUUGGGAAAACUCAGUCUACCUGUCUGGACUUUGGAUCCCUCAUCUGUCGGAUGCCAAGUUGUGCAAGAAUGGUUUGGUUUGGACUGGCCUCUGAUGUCCCCACCCUUGCCUUGAGCAUGGCAGUUGUCCCCAAAGUGAAUGACGAUGCUGUCUUAGGGUAGACUUCUGCAAAGGGCGCUGAGCAGCCAGAGGGUACGUGUGUACUUUUCUUUCGGGAGCCUGCUUUUUCCCUAUCGCUAUGCAAACUGGCCCUGGCACAUUGGUCUGGCUUGGAACGUGACUGGCAGCGGCCAAAGUGCUGAGACCACUGCUAUGGAAGAGAUCUCACUGGAUGAGGAUCACGUUGUUUUCACAGUGCGAGGCUCUGCCUUCUUGAAAGCUCUGGCAGUAUCAAUAGAGGCUGUUCCUCAGAGCUUUUACAAAGCAGCCCCCCUGGCUGACAAGUCCUGGGGCAAGGCGUCUUGGACCACUAAUAACUCAGGUACAUCAUGGAAACUAUUUUAAGCUUUUACAAGCUCAAAAUAGAUAACAUCCCAGUGAUCCCCUUUAUGACUGGGCCUUUCCCUCUAGAGCUUUAAGACCCAUGGCAUUUUAGCCACAUUUUAAGAAAUGGUAGGGGGAUGUAAAGUCUGAGAACUUAAAGCACAUUUUGUUGGAGGUGAAAGACUUGUGUUUCUGAUGUCUGCCCCAGCCUGUCACCAGGAGAGCAGUUUGGGUCUUUAAAAACAGUCUACCCCUUCAAGGGUCAAGUGACAUGGGGUUCUGAGGCUGCCACAAGGCCAUCAUAGAUGGCAUGUUUAAUUUUUUUUUAUUUUCUAAUUUACUGGUUAUUUUUGCAAAAGAAAUAUAUGCACAUAGUUUUGUAAAAAAAUUUUUUUAAGUUCAAAGGGAAUUUGUAAUAAAAAUUAAGUGGGCUUCAUGCCUACAGCUGCCUCCCCAAAGGCAACCACCAUUAUCAGUUUCAUAUUUAGGCUUCCAGAAAUAUCCUGUGUACAUGUUGGAGACUGUGUGUGUGUGUAUAAAAUCAUCUUUUUAUACAAAUGAGAACCCACUUUAGACAAUUAGUACAAACUUUGCUUUUUUUCACUUUUAAAUAUAUUAGAGAUGUUAGACACAUAUAGAUCUCAUUUUUUUUGAGUAGGUGUGCAACAUCCUGUUGUACAGAUAUACCCAAAUGUUUAACCUAGCCCCCUGGUGGCAGGUUACGUUACGGCUUCUAUUUAUAAUGCUGCAGUGAACAUACUCAUACUGUACAACUUUGGGCAUGUGUAUGGCAAUUUCUGUUAUUUUUUCCAUGUGUUACUUUCUCUAACUCUUUGUCUUUCUCAGCAUCUCUUCUAGGCUUUUGUGGGCUCUUCAGUGGCUCUGCAUGCCUCUGUAUCCCCUCGUGUCCAGGCAGUGGCAAAUAGAGGCCAUGAUGCCACAGCUACCAGCUUGGGAGCCAGGUGUCAGCGACUGACCCAGAGCUGCUUCUCACUGUGCUAUUUCAGGCUUUUAGGACAUGGGACUGUGGAAUCUCCGCAUUGGAAGAGAGAGAUCUUAGAGCUCAGUUGAUUCAGUUCCUGGUACAUGAAUCCCCUCUAAUACUAGCAGUGGCAUCCUUAUUGAGUGCCUUCCCAUAGGUCAUCACAAUAUUGCCACCAAGUGAGGGCCCAGUGUGUGAACACCUCUUGAGUUAGUCUGUUCAGCUCAGAGGUUUUGACUGCUGGAAACACACCCCUCAGCCUGUGCUUAAGAUCUUUUAGAACGUAUAGUAUAAUGGAGGACAGCACAUCCUGCUUGUAUGUGAAUCCAGGGUCCACCUACAAGCUGACUAACACUGGGCAAGUUACUGAGUCCUCUGUCCCUCACUUUCCUCAUCUGAAAAAUGGGGAUAAUAAUAUUACAAUCUCAUAAAGCUGUUGUACAGAUUAGGUGUUAAUGCAUGAAAAUUUUUUUUAAGUGCCUGGCAUAGAGAAAGUAAUGUAUGUUAUGUGUAUAUAUAAAUGUAAAUAUAUUAUUAUGUAAUACUGUUGUAUAUCAUAUAUAAUUAUAUGUCAUGUAUAAUCAAAUAUAUAUCAAACAUCUAUCAUAUAUACGACAUAUACACGCACAUACAUAUACUGUUAUUAUUAUACUGUUCUUGCUACUGUAACUUAACAGCAACAAAACUCCUCAAUAGACAGAGGAGACUUCAAGUGUAAAUCUUCCUGGGAAGAAAAUGAAUGAUCUUUGCCUUGUAUGAGCCAUGUGCUUUACAUGGCAUCUUACUUAGUCUUCACAACAAUAUACAUGAGAGAUAUUGUCAAUUCCUAUUUUACGGAGGAUAAAACUAAGGCUCAUGUCAUCGGGCAAGCGCUCAAGGGUCAUUGACAUAGUAAGUGGCAGAGGUGGCCUUAUUUCAAAGGCAUUAAACUGCGGUGACUUAACUUCCUACGGAGGCAGACAUGGCUGGGACCAGCUCUUUCUCUGAGAGGCGGCUGGUACCACUGGCUUCUGGAUGAGGCAUGGGUGACUGAAGAGAAGAAUCUUGGAGGAGGAGGGCUAUACGAUGCGAGAGUGCGGGGCUGCCGAGGCGCCGGGUGAUGGGAAGAAUGUGGGCACCCCUCUCCUCCCCUUCAAGACCCUCCGUCAGAGACAGACCCUGCUGCCCGCUGUGAGCUGCUCUUCCCUCCUAGGACUGUGGCAGCCGCUCCCUGCGUGUCCUUUACUCCCAGCACGCUCAUCUGCAGCUGAGCAACCUCUCCUGCCUUCAAACCUUUUCCUUGCACAACGGAAUGACUUACUGGCUUCCUGCCAAGACCAAAAUAGUCUGGGCUCUAUUUAUCUGUUCUGUGCUCACACAGGACGGGGAACAUCACAGUAAAGCUUCAGUGCUCUUGAAUUUGGAUGAGCCAAUGCUCAGACUAGUGCUUGGCAAAUAUAUUUGCUUUUAAAAUUUCUUUUGAAGUGAGCUGAGGUGAGGAGAGGAACAGAAGGCAUAGAGAGGAAUGAAAAGUUAUGGGUCUUUUAGUCUUGGUCAUAAGCUUCAGAAAAUUCCUGUGCAUGGGAGUGAUGACUCCGAUGGUAACCUAGCACUCGUGAUAAGCAGCUUAUCCAUAGGAUCUAAACACUGAGGUUUCCCUGUACUACAAUGAAAGACUUAGAUGUACUGAUCACCAGAACCCCAUCGACUGACCACUAAGGCUUUAUACCUUACCUCCACAAUGGGAUAUUUCUUGGCCCAAGUGCUAUUCGCUGGGUCUGGAAUUUCUUUGCUACACCACUGAGGUCUGAGGGCCAAAAGGAGAACAAAUACCCUGCAGGUAAAGAAAACAGUGACAUGGGUUAAGUGGGCACACGGUGGCAUGGAAGCACAGUGACUUCAGUGUAGGGGUAUGCAAAUGAGUAAAAUGUAAACACUGCAGGAGAAAGAUGAUGCAUCACCCAAGUCUGGACUAGUUUUCUGUGAAGUUUAUAGAUGAUAAGGACUCGUGGUGCAACCACUUAGGGUUUGCUAAAUAAACUAUGGGACUUUGGCUCGGUGUAAUGUUUAGCUACACUAAGCAGCCAAGCACUCACUCAACAAACGUUGAUUGAAUCCUUAAUGUAUGACCAGCACAGUGCCACAUGCUGGGGAUAAAGCAGCAAACAAGAGGACAUGGUCAGUACCCUUGGGGAGAUUACUAUUUAUAUUUAGUAAAUUAGAAUGUUUAUAAAGAGCUUGUAAUGAAAACAAAAUGGGAUACAGGUGGUAUAAACAGCUUGGACAUAACCAAUUAAAAAAAUGCCAAAAAAAAUACCAAUAUGGAAAUAUCCAAACUAUUAAAGUAGUUGUAUUUGG